rnacentral:rRNA from 1 species
UACGAACUGUGCGAACGUUAUUCGGAAUCACUGGGCUUACAGGGUGCGUAGGCGGCUAUUCAGGUCAGGUGUGAAAGCCCCCGGCUCAACCGGGGAACUGCGCUUGAAACCGAGUGGCUCGAGUCAGCUAGAGGUACACGGAACUUCCAGUGGAGCGGUGAAAUGUGUUGAUAUUGGAAGGAGCACCGGAGGCGAAAGCGGUGUACUGGGGCUGGUCUGACGCUGAGGCACGAAAGCCAGGGGAGCGAACGGG